GACGAACGCUGGCGGCGUGCCUAAUACAUGCAAGUAGAACGCUGAAGAGAGGAGCUUGCUCUUCUUGGAUGAGUUGCGAACGGGUGAGUAACGCGUAGGUAACCUGCCUUGUAGCGGGGGAUAACUAUUGGAAACGAUAGCUAAUACCGCAUAACAAUGGAUGACACAUGUCAUUUAUUUGAAAGGGGCAAUUGCUCCACUACAAGAUGGACCUGCGUUAUAUUAGCUAGUAGGUGAGGUAACGGCCCACCUAGGCGACGAUCAGUAGCCGGCCUGGGAGGACGACCAGCCACACUGGGAAUGAGACACGGCCCAGACUCCUACGGGAGGCAGAAGUGGGGAAUUUUGGACAAUGGGCGAAAGCCUGAUCCAGCAAUGCCGCGUGUGUGAUGAAGGCCUUCGGGUUGUAAAGAACUUUUGGCGGGAACGAAAAGGACUGUGCCAAUACCACGGUUCGGUGACGGUACCCGCAGAAUAAGCACCGGCUAACUACGUG
rnacentral:rRNA from 1 species